CCUACGGGAGGCAGCAGUGGGGAAUAUUGGACAAUGGGCGCAAGCCUGAUCCAGCCAUGCCGCGUGAGUGAUGAAGGCCUUAGGAUUGUAAAGCUCUUUCACCGGAGAAGAUAAUGACGGUAUCCGGAGAAGAAGCCCCGGCUAACUUCGUG
rnacentral:rRNA from 1 species